CAGGCCGGAGAGACUCCGUGCUAGCACGGAGGACACCUGGGAAAGAGCCCCGCCCCCUGGUCAGGAGCGACCCUGGAGGCGUGCUCAAGGUUAGCCACGCCCACUGUCAACUGUAGGAGCCGGAAUCCCUGGGGCCAAUGAAGUGACGAAAUUACUGGCUAAGCUCCACCUCCGGAGAAAGAGGACAGGAAAUUAAAACAAGUGUACCUAGAAAAAUGAAACCAAGCCUCGAGUCCAUUUCUGGGGACAUGGAUCUAUCUUCAACUCCCUGCAGGCCAACCAGCUGUCAAAUCUGUCCUCUUGCCAUUUCCACUGCCACCCCCCAGUCUGUUACCUUUGUCGCCUAGAAGCAUCGCAAGAGCAGCCUCUACAGGAGCCAUCCUGCUUCCACUUUCACUUCCUUCAGUCCUUUCUCCACAAAGCAGAUGAUAUAGCCUUUCUAAACUCUUUGUUGAUGUAACAACGUCCAAACCUGCAGAGAAUUUUUAUCAGAAUGUAUUUGAGCUAAACUGCCGACAUAUGCCGGGAAGCAAGCUAUCAAGUGCUGUGGGGAAUGACAGUUUUGCAGUUCCUUUUAUACAUUUGGAAUUAAGGGGGAAGCUAAGGAAGGUUACACGAAGGUGGAAGAAAGCAAGGUGGGGAUUACGCAUAGUUAAGAUUAUGUGCUCCCUUGAGAGUGGUUAGAGCUCCCAGAGGUCUGAAAAAGAGGAUUACUCUGGCAUUUCAAAGGUGUGUGAACGUAGAUGUACAAGAACAGUGGACAGGGCUUGCUUAAGGCAAAGAUAACCUUUUUGUUGGCCUGGGCCCCCACCAUGACCUGUCCAGUUAGGAAUUUUAUGACCAGACACUCUCUGAGGUUACUUUCCAUCAGAUUUACUACAGAGCCCUUCUUUUUUUAUCCCCAUCUUGAUCUAGCACUUGACUCUCCUACUUAAAACUCAAUAGCUUCACUCUUAGGAUAAAGAGCAAAAGGUUUAACGUGGCCACAAAGCCCUGCACCAUCUGCCUCUGCCUUCGUUAAAAAAAAAAAAGUAAAUCAUUAUUCUGUUUAAAUCUCUUCAAUGGCUUUUUGGCUGUUCUCAAAAUAAAAUUGGAACGCUCACCGUGGGCAGCAAGACCCUAGAUGAUCUAGUACCUGUAUGCCUCUCCAAACGCACCGCAGACCACCUGCCUUCCUGUUCACUACACUCUGGCCACACUGUUUCCUUUCAGUACUUCAGAUACGACAAGCUCUUUCCUACCUGUGGAUCUUUGCACUGUCUCCUUUACCUGCAACACUUUCCUGGAAGCCCUUUGUUUGAAUGCCAAUUCUCUUUGUGAUUCAAGACAAACAUCACUUUCUCAGAACACUCUUUUCUCAAUUUAAAAUAGCCUCCACACAAGUUCCCUCUAUUACAUCACCCUGCUUCUUUUUUUCAUGGUGCUUAUUAUAAUCUGAAAU